rnacentral:misc_RNA from 1 species
AACGCACCUUGCACCCUUUGGUAUUCCGAAGGGUAUGCCUGUUUGAGUGUCAUUAAAUUAUCAACUUCAAAAUUCUUUUUGUGUUUUGAAGCUUGGAAAUGGGAGUUUGCAGGCUGCUUAUGGUAGUGGUCAGCUCUUCUGAAAUGCAUUAGCCUGGGAUAAACUCCUUUGCUUUAUUGGUGUGAUAAUUGUCAUCGCCAAAUUGGCAUUGGUUUUUGAAGCCCUGCUUAGAGUUGUCUUCGGACAGUCUCCUUUGGAGGCUUAAAUUGACGAUUGUGACCUCAAAUCAGGUAGGACUACCCGCUGAACUUAA